rnacentral:rRNA from 1 species
AGAGUUUGAUCCUGGCUCAGGAUGAACGCUGGCGGUGUGCCUUAUACAUGCAUGUCGAACGAGGCGUAGCAAUACGUCUAGUGGCAAAUGGGUGAGUAAUAAAUAGGUAACCAACCCUUAAGACGGGGAUACCCCAUCGAAAGAUGGAAUAAUACCCGAUAAUGUCCCUUCCGGUGCGCUGGAGGGGAAGAAAGAUGGCGCAAGCUAUCACUUUUGGACGGGCUUAUUUCCUAUCAGCUAGUUGGUGAGGUAACGGCUUACCAAGGCUACGACGGGUAGCUGGUCUGAGAGGACGGUCAGCCACAUUGGGACUGCGACACGGCCCAGACUCCUACGGGAGGCAGCAGUCGGGAAUAUUCGGCCAAUGCGCGAAAGCGUGACCGAGCGACACCGCGUGGGCGACGAAGAUCUUAGGAUUGUAAAGCCCUUUUGCCAGGGAAGAAUACGCUGGAGACAAUAUCAAUAGCGUUUGACGGUACCUGGCGAAUAAGCCGCAGCAAACUACGUGCCAGCAGCUGCGGUAAUACGUAGGUGGCGAGCGUUAUCCGGAAUUACUGGGUGUAAAGGGUCCGCAGGCGACUUGUUAAGUUAAGAGUUAAAUCUCAAAGCCCAACUUUGAGGCCGCUCUUAAGACUGGCAAGAUAGAGUGUAGAAGACGGAAGUGGAAUUCCUGGUGGAGAGGUAAAAUCCGUAGAUAUCAGGAGGAACACCUGUGGUGAAGACGGCUUCCGAGUCUAUAACUGACGCUCAUGGACGAAAGCUAGGGGAGCAAACAGGAUUAGAUACCCUGGUAGUCCUAGCC